UACGUAGGGUGCGAGCGUUAAUCGGAAUUACUGGGCGUAAAGCGUGCGCAGGCGGUUCGUUAAGUCAGAUGUGAAAGCCCCGGGCUCAACCUGGGAACUGCAUUUGAGACUGCGUAGCUAGGGUGCGGAAGAGGGAAGCGGAAUUUCCGGUGUAGCGGUGAAAUGCGUAGAUAUCGGAAGGAACACCAGUGGCGAAAGCGGCUUCCUGGUCCAGCACCGACGUUCAGGCACGAAAGCGUGGGGAGCAAACAGG
rnacentral:rRNA from 1 species